UGGUGGUCCUUCCACAGAUAUGUUAAUUUAUGAAUAGAUAUGGCAGUUUUCAGGACACUGAUAUAUCUAAAAAAAUUCACCACCAAAGAAUAUCAGUGUGAUUUUAAUAUGAUUUGACUCUUUGCAGGCUGUCAGGCUGUCUAGUCACAGAGGAAGGCUGUGCUUCUCUGGUCUCAGCUCUGAGGUCAAACCCCUCACACCUGAGAGAGCUGGACCUGAGCUACAAUCACCCAGGAGACUCAGGAGUCAGACUGCUCUCUGCUGGACUGGAGGAUCCACACUGCAGACUGGAGAAACUCAAUGUGGAACAUGGUGGAGAGAACAGAAUGAAACCUGGACUUAGAAAAUAUGUCUGUGAUCUCACACUGGACCCAAACACAGUAAACAGACACCUCUCUCUGUCUGAGGAGAACAGAAAAGUGACAUGGAGAGAGGAGCAGCCGUAUCCUGAUCACCCAGAGAGAUUUGAGGACUGUGAACAGGUGCUGUGUAGAGAGGGUCUGACUGGGCGCUGUUACUGGGAGGUAGAGUGUAGUGGGAGAAGGGCUGGUAUAGGAGUGACAUAUAAAGGAAUCAACAGGAGAGGAGGGGUUAAGGACUGUCGUCUUGGAUACAAUGACAAGUCCUGGAGUCUGUUCUGCUCUGUCAACAGUUACAUUGCCAGGCACAAUAAUAAUCCCACUACCAUAGACGUCCCCUCCUCCAGCUCCCACAGAGUAGGAGUGUAUCUGGACUGGCCAGCCGGCACUCUGUCCUUCUAUAGAGCCUCCUCUGACACACUGACCCACCUGAUCACAUUCACCUCCACAUUCACUGAGCCCCUCUAUCCAGGGAUUGGGGUUUGGUGGGAAGGCGACUCAGUGUCAAUAAUAACCUGACACACACACACACACUGGACACACACACACAGGACACACACACACAGGACACACACACACAGGACACACACACACACUGGACACACACACA